rnacentral:misc_RNA from 1 species
UCUCCGUAGGUGAACCUGCGGAGGGAUCAUUACUGAGUGAGGGCUCCGGCCCGACCUCCAACCCCAUGUGAACCGAAACCUGUUGCUUCGGGGGCGACCCUGCCGCUUCGGCGGUGCGGCGCCCCCGGAGGCCAUUAAACACUGCAUCAUUGCGUCGGAGUUAAAGUAAAUUAAACAAAACUUUCAACAACGGAUCUCUUGGUUCCAGCAUCGAUGAAGAACGCAGC